UGGGGAAUAUUGCACAAUGGGCGCAAGCCUGAUGCAGCAACGCCGCGUGAACGAUGAAGGUCUUCGGAUCGUAAAGUUCUGUUGCAGGGGAAGAUAAUGACGGUACCCUGUGAGGAAGCCCCGGCUAACUACGUGCCAGCAGCCGCGGUAAUACGUAGGGGGCAAGCGUUAUCCGGAUUCAUUGGGCGUAAAGCGCGCGUAGGCGGUCUGUUAGGUCAGGAGUCAAAUCUGGGGGCUCAACCCCUAUCCGCUCCUGAUACCGGCAGGCUUGAGUCUGGUAUGGGAAGGUGGAAUUCCAAGUGUAGCGGUGAAAUGCGCAGAUAUUUGGAAGAACACCAGUGGCGAAGGCGGCCUUCUGGGCCAUGACUGACGCUGAGGCGCGAAAGCUAGGGGAGCGAACAGG
rnacentral:rRNA from 1 species